GGUUUCCUUCUGGUCGAUGAGGUAGAUUUACCUCAUCAAUCGGAGGGGUUUCCUUCCGGUUGAUGAGGUACAUGUACCUCGUUGACCGGAAGGAAACC
rnacentral:miRNA from 1 species